UUAGUGGCGGACGGGUGAGUAACGCGUGGGCAACCUGCCUUACACAGGGGGAUAACACUUAGAAAUAGGUGCUAAAACCGCAUAAGCGCACAGCUUCACAUGAAGCGGUGUGAAAAACUCCGGUGGUGUAAGAUGGACCCGCGUCUGAUUAGCUUGUUGGCGGGGUAACGGCCCACCAAGGCGACGAUCAGUAGCCGGCCUGAGAGGGCGGACGGCCACAUUGGGACUGAGACACGGCCCAGACUCCUACGGAAGGCAGCAG
rnacentral:rRNA from 1 species